GAGACAGACAGGCUGAGUUAAGUUGAAUUAAGUGGCACAAAUGCAGAUACGAUUUUUACCCCUGACAGACAGCACCAUUGUGCAUAACAAAUUUUCUUCUUCUACCUGCGCAUUUAGUUAUCAGCUGAUUUGACAAAAACUUUGAGCUCAAAAUGGAAAGGAGAGAAAAAAUACGAUUAGCAGCUAUUUUGUUUGCAAAAAACAAUUACUUAUUUAAAAAAAAACUUAACAUUCUUCUCUUAAAAUUAUUCAACAAUAUGAAAAUAAUUAAUUCAUUGGCAAGCAUAGACCUUGCCACGAUGUUUGAAGCUGGGAUUGUUACACUUCCUGAUAUAAGAGAAAGGCAGCUGUGGAAAUUGGAUCGCAGCGGCACAUUUUGGGAGCGUGAUGUUCCUUUAAUGGACGAAAAUCGUUUCAAAGAAAAUUUUCGACUCAAUAGAAAUGCUUUUCGGAGAAUUUGUGAAAAAGUUCGAGGCAUCGAAAAGGCGAACACUCAUAUGAGGCCAUGUAUUCCACUUCAUAAAAGAGUGGCUAUCUCACUAUUCGCAUUGGGAUCUGCAGCGGAGUACAGGACUGUUGCAAGUCUUUUCGGAGUAGGACGCAGUACUGUUGGCGAAAUUGUUUUGGAUUUUUGCCAAGCAGUAUGCGAAAAUCUAUGAUUGCAUUAAGUCAUAUCCUCCAAACCAACACGAAAUCAGAAAAGUUGUUGAUGGCUUCGCGCAAACUGGGUUUCCUCAAUGCUUUGGAGCUGUGGAUGGCUGCCACAUAGAAGUUCAACCACCAAAAGAUGAUGCAACAGACUAUUACAACUACAAGGGGUGGUAUUCAGUGAUCUUGCUAGCGAGCUGUGACCACCGAUCAAAAUUUACUUACAUAAAUAUUGGAUCUACUGGUAGAAACAACGACUCUUACAUUUUCGGAAAGAGUACAUUGAAAAGAUUCCAUGAAACUGCCGAUAUUUUUACGCAGAAUAGCAAAUUCAUAGGCGGCAUCAAUGUACCCGUUCUACUAAUAGGCGAUUCUGCUUUUCGCCUCUCCCGGUAUAUGAUGAAACCGUUUCCAUAUUCGCCGAAUCAGCCGUCUAUAGAAAAAAACCUUUAACUACCAACUAUCUAGGUGUCGUCGUCUAAUCGAAAAUGCAUUCGGUUAACUUAAAGCACGGUUCAGAAAAA